rnacentral:sRNA from 1 species
GCUGGAUGUGGUGGUGCACACCUAUAAUCCCAGUGGCUUGGGAGGCUGAGGCAGGAGGAUCACGAGUUCAAAGCCAGCCUCAGAAACUGUGAGGUGCUAAGCAACUCAGUGAGACCCUGUGUCUA